GUGAGGAAUAUUGGUCAAUGGGCGCAGGCCUGAACCAGCCAAGUCGCGUGAGGGAAGACGGUCCUACGGAUUGUAAACCUCUUUUGUCGGGGAGUAACGUGCGGGACGCGUCCCGUAUUGAGAGUACCCGAAGAAAAAGCAUCGGCUAACUCCGUGCCAGCAGCCGCGGUAAUACGGAGGAUGCGAGCGUUAUCCGGAUUUAUUGGGUUUAAAGGGUGCGCAGGCGGCGCGCCAAGUCAGCGGUCAAAGUUCCGGGCUCAACCCGGUGUCGCCGUUGAAACUGGCGUGCUCGAGUGCGUGCGAGGAAGGCGGAAUGCGUUGUGUAGCGGUGAAAUGCAUAGAUAUGACGCAGAACUCCGAUUGCGAAGGCAGCUUUCCAGCGCGCUACUGACGCUGAGGCACGAAAGCGUGGGGAUCGAACAGGAUUAGAAACCCGAGUAGUCC
rnacentral:rRNA from 1 species